rnacentral:rRNA from 1 species
UAUCUCUGUAGAGUCUGCAUAUCAAUAAGCGGAGGAAAAGAAACUAACAAGGAUUCCCUUAGUAACGGCGAGUGAAGCGGGAAGAGCUCAAAUUUGAAAUCUUCAAGGUUUUACCUUGACGAAUUGUAGUUUAAAGAAGUGUUUUCUGUUAGAUGAGUUUCGGUAAAAGUUCCUUUGGAAUAGGGACAUCAUAGAGGGUGAGAAUCCCGUAUUUGAGCUAUUCAUUUCCUAGCUUUGUGAUACACUUUCAAAGAGUCGGAUUGUUUGGGAAUGCAGUCCAAAAUGGGUGGUAAAUUUCAUCUAAAGCUAAAUAUUGGCGAGAGACCGAUAGCGAACAAGUACCGUGAGGGAAAGAUGAAAAGAACUUUGAAAAGAGAGUUAAACAGUACGUGAAAUUGUCAAAAGGGAAGCGUUUGACACCAGUGUUGUUUUUCUCGAAAAAUCAAUUAAGAAAUGGCAUGAUUUUGUGUUGUAUUGACCUUUAUCAGCUUUCUGCACUCUUUUCUUGAGUCUUUUUUAAUGCACUUUUUCGGUUUAACAAGUCAACAUCAAUUUCUUUUGUUGUAAAAGGAGUCAUUCGGAAGGUGGCUUUCUUUUCGGAGAAAAGUGUUUAUAGCCCUUAUGCCUUCUACAAUCGGAGAGAUUGAGGUCUGCAGCGUAGAUCCUUCGGGGUUAGAUACACUUUGUGCUAAGUUAGUAGCCUUUUCAUAGACAACUUGUUGACUAUGAUCAGUCAUGUAGGCUUACUCGCUUAGUGCUAUUUUACCUACGCUUAGGAUGUUGAAGAUGUAGCACAUCAU